rnacentral:rRNA from 1 species
GGACGGGUGAGUAACGCGUGAGCAAUCUGCCUUUCAGUGGGGGAUAACGACUGGAAACGGUCGCUAAUACCGCAUGAUGUAUUUUUGUCGCAUGACGAAGGUACCAAAGAUUUAUCGCUGAAAGAUGAGCUCGCGUCUGAUUAGCUAGUUGGUGAGGUAAUGGCCCACCAAGGCGACGAUCAGUAGCCGGACUGAGAGGUUGAACGGCCACAUUGGGACUGAGAUACGGCCCAGACUCCUACGGGAGGCAGCAGUGAAGAAUAUUGCGCAAUGGGGGAAACCCUGACGCAGCAACGCCGCGUGAAGGACGAAGGUUUUCGGAUUGUAAACUUCUUUUGUCGAGGACGAAAAAAAUGACGGUACUCGACGAAUAAGCCACGGCUAACUACGUGCCAGCAGCCGCGGUAAUACGUAGGUGGCAAGCGUUAUCCGGAUUUACUGGGUGUAAAG